ensembl:lncRNA
GUAGCACCAACAGCCCUCCAGAAGCAUCCUUGGAAUUUCCAGAGAGAUGAAUCCCAAAAAAUACUGCUAUUGUCAGAUUGGAUUCUCUCCACCACCUCUUGAUUGAAAAUGAAAAAAAAAAAAAAAUCAACAGGCUUAAAGUAUAGAAGUUGAAGAUCCAGUUAGUGAAAAGAGAAGUUCUCCUCCAAGGAUGUUAAAACAGUUGGGCUGUUUUCCAUGUGAUUCCUUCCUUCAAAUCUUCAUUCCUGGGAGUUAGAAGUUGGAGCACAAGGCUCUCAAUCAAGAAUGCUUUGAGGACCCCCCAAAGACCUGCUGACCUCUAAAUAUCUCCCCUGCAGGUUUCCCAUGUUGCCUGAAAUCCCUGUAACCUGGGUCAGUUCUUAAGAAUCAAGUAUUUUCUCACCAUUCUGGGGCCCCCUUUUAAAAUGCAAAGCUGGGAGGGUGCUGGGGUCCAUUAAUUGGGAACAAUUAUCUGCAGAGCCAGUGCCCGCCCAGAGGCCCUCCAUUCUAAUAGCUCGCUUCCUAACCCCUUACCACCACUGAGACUGGACAAUACGUGCUCUAGGAAACUGAAAUUGGACAAUGUGUGCUUUAAGCAACUUCUUAGGUGAAGAUACCAUUUCAAGAAAGCAUACUUUCUGUGAAUAAAACAGGG